GGAUCCAGAGAGAACGAGGCAGGUGUAUCAGGAUCUGGAUCUCAUCCCUCAUAAACAGUUUGAGAUCCGACAGAAGAACCUGCAGGGAGCAAGAAAAGCCAUGUCGGAUGUUGGUUGGGAGGAGUGCUAUAACUACAUUUUCCCAGAGGACGCCGCCAACCAAGCCAACCUCAAGCUCCUCGCCAUGGCCGUGAUGUGGAAGAGGCACCAUUUGGACAUGGAGGGGGAGAAUGUUCCAGAAAAAGAUCCAACGGCUGAGGAGACGUCGCCGCCACCUUCCUCUUCCGGGCCUGCAGCUCCUCUCCCAACCAGAGAACAACUCUGACAAGACGGAGAGGACGCCAGCAUCAGCGAGAGUGACAACGAGGAGGGCGAUGGAGAGAAGAAGACGGAAAAAGAGAGCAAGAGCAGUGAAGAAGAUAAAGAUUCGAUUCUCCACACAGGGUCGACCUGGACUUAUUUAUUUAUUCUUUAUUGUUUGACCGUGUUUUCUUUGCGUCUUCGUCAAUUCAACCUGGCUUCUUGUUUUCCACACCCUACUGUUCUUCACUGUCUUCUGGUCUGACGGGAUGUGGCGGCCGGACGGUCGACUUCUUCUCCGUGUCUCCGGACAGAGCUUUCCUCCUAUCUGCAAAGAAACAAAUGUAAAGUCUAAGAUUGCAGAUCAGAGUGAACAGCGCCACCUUCAGUUUGUCAUUCAGCCUGUUGGAUCAGCAUGUUUUGGCAGAUGUUUAGAGAUUUCUGCCAGAACUAUGAAGGGGACUGGAAUUUGGUGUGUGACGCUCUAAGAGUUACACAUUUUUAAAGAAGCUUCCAGAAACAAUAUCCAGAUAAUUCCGAGCGGGUCGCAAU